AUACGUAGGUGACAAGCGUUAUCCGGAUUUACUGGGCGUAAAGGGCGUGUAGGCGGUCUUGCAAGUCAGAAGUGAAAUUCCUGAGCUCAACUCGGGCGCUGCUUCUGAAACUGCAGGACUUGAGUGCUGGAGGGGAUAGCGGAAUUCCUAGUGGAGCGGUAAAAUGCGCAGAUAUUAGGAAGAACACCGGUGGCGAAAGCGGCUGGCUGGACGUUAACUGACGCUGAGGCGCGAAAGCGUGGGGAGCAAACAGGAAUAGAUACCCUGGUAGUCCACGCCGUAAACGAUGAGUACUAGGUGUAGGGAGAUAUAAGUGCUCUGUAUCGCAGCUAACGCAAUAAGCACUCCGCCUGGGGAGUACGACCGCAAGGUUGAAACUCAAAGGAAUUGACGGGU
rnacentral:rRNA from 1 species